rnacentral:rRNA from 1 species
UACGAGGGGGGCGAGCGUUGUUCGGAAUUAUUGGGCGUAAAGGGUGCGUAGGCGGUUUGGUAAGUCUCUUGUGAAAUCUAUGGGCUCAACUCAUAGUCUGCAAGGGAAACUGCCGGGCUUGAGUGUGGGAGAGGUGAGUGGAAUUUCCGGUGUAGCGGUGAAAUGCGUAGAUAUCGGAAGGAACACCUGUGGCGAAAGCGGCUCACUGGCCCGGUACUGACGCUGAGGCACGAAAGCGUGGGGAGCAACAGG